CCCAGACACAGAGGAAGCAAGAUGAAAAUGCCUCGCUGAAAAAGGCUAGCCUGCAAUGCACUUGUAAACAAAGCUGGCCUUAAACUUGUGGCAAUCCUCCUGACUAAGACUCCCAAGAGCUGAUAUUACAGGUGACUCAGCAUCUUGCAGCCACUCUCUGCCACCUCGGGAACAAGGGCAUGCCUCUGCAUCAACUCCAAGACAUUCAGGAGUGUGGACAGUGCAUGCGCAGAGGCUUGGAAGACAUCUUUGGAGGACGAAUGCAUCAGCAUGGACAGCAUCACUUCCCUGUGUGCCGGGAACCUUUCAAAAAGCCAACCACAUCUCAGUUUGCAGUCUCCAGCUCCCAUGCUCACCCUGCCUAUGAACUCUGACAAGGCAGGCCCGGAAGCUGAGUGGACACCACCCCACUCACAAUAAAAACACAAGCUGAAAAACUCUCUAAGUAAAGGUUGGAUUCAAGCAUA